CCCUUAGAUGUUCUGGGCCGCACGCGCGCUACACUGUUCGACGCAGCGAGUCUUAACCUUGACCGAAAGGUUUGGGUAAUCUUCAGCAAAGUCGAACGUGAUGGGGAUCGAUCAUUGCAAUUAUUGAUCGUGAACGAGGAAUUCCUAGUAAGUGCAAGUCAUCAGCUUGCGCUGAUUACGUCCCUGCCCUUUGUACACACCGCCCGUCGCUACUACCGAUUGAAUGGUUUAGUGAGAUCUCUGGAUUGACGCUAGCUAGGGGGCGACCCUUGGCCAGACUGUUGAGAAACUGCUCAAACUUGAUCAUUUAGAGGAAGUAAAAGUCGUAACA
rnacentral:rRNA from 1 species